UGUCUCUAAGUCUCUUCACCAAGGUUGUAUCUUGUGAAGAUGAAUUGGAUGACUAAGGGAAGAAAAGAUUGCUAGAUGUCCCUCCCCUUAGUGGCCGGCCUCCUUAGAAGAAAAUGGAGAAAAUGUUUCACCCAAUUUCAACAAGAAAAACCCUAAUUAGAAAAUAGCUAUAAAGUUGCUUUUAUAACCUUUUCUUUGGUGAGUGGCAAACUUGUAAUAAAGCAAACUUUGCCCAUUCACCCUAAUGGCCGGCCAUCCUUUGUUAUUGGGCUAAUUUGCCCAUUUUGUUUUAGUUGUCAUACAACUUAAACAUAAUGGGCCUUGUGGACCAAAACGCUUUUGGGCCCCGAAACCCAAAACCAACAUAUAAGCCCAAUACGAACCUUUCGUAUAAUUAACUAACUAAUUAAUUAAUCUUGACCAUUCUUCAAUUAAACCAUUUAAUUGCUUAUCCAUUUCAUUUGAUUUCUUCACAUACAUCCUUACUCGGUGUACGAUCCAUUAGGUUCCAAUUAGCGAGGCAGUGGGCGAUGUUACUCUUAACUAUCGAUUUGUGAAUUGAAACCACAUUUCAAUUCUCCCUUUAAUGAUUAGUGUUACCUAAUCAUUUGGGCUUCCACAAACCAUGAGUGACACCUAGCAGUAUGUCAUGGUUACCCAAGCUAAGUAGAAUUGGUUGGAGAACCUAUCCAGUUACAACUACAAUGCAAUACGGUCCUUCUCUAAUACAAUACUCUUAAUCACAUUGUUUACGUGAUAGUUUGUUUCAUGUCUACUAUCCAAUGUGAUACUUUCCUAUAUGAUUCCCAUGAAUAUGAUUUGGAACAAACUUCCUAAGUCAUAUUCAUUUGCUUUGGCCAAAGACUUUAGAAUCAUAUCUUAGAGUACUCUCCCUCCACCAAGGAAGGUUAGAGAUCCCUUGUUGUGCAUUCAUAUGCCUACAUGACUAGAUAGCUUGACCCCAACAAUGCCGUGGACACUCCAAAGGAAUGCCGUUGACAGGAUCAAAGAUCAAGGACCUAACCAUUAGACAUCGAUGAUGCCUCAGGUCAAAGGACUACUUUGCAUAUUGUAACUUUAGAGUUCAUACAUGACAUGUAUGUUCGAACUCUCUUUUGAUCGUAGUUCAGUGUACUCGAUUACUCUUUCGAGCACCUAUGUGUUUGUCUUAGUGUCCAACACCAAAUGACUUGAGACUAGUCAUACUCACGCUUGAGUCAACACAACACAUACUAACCUUAGCGGAUUGUCAAUGCCCAAUUGGCAAUCCUAUGGCUAGGAACGUUUUAGGAAUGAACAUAAGAGAAAGGUCUCGAUAAUCUAACUCACUUAGAUCACUUAUCUCUUAGAACAAAUACAUUCCUUGGAUUCUCUUAUUGCUUAAACACAUGAUACAAUAAAUAGUGAUUAACAAUAAGAUUUGCCCUUCAUUAAACAUAUAAAAGUUUAAUACAUUAAGUAUUCCAAAAAGCUAUUACAUCAAAUGAGUGGCUUUGUGGGCAUACUUCCAACAAUCUCCCACUUGCACUCAAAGCCACCUUCCCAUGUAUCUAAUACCCAUCUUUUCCAUAUGACGGUCAAGCUGGAUCUGAGACAUUGGCUUUGUCAGUGGAUCUGCUACGUUAUCGGCUGAAGCAACUUUGAGGAUGUUGAUUUUCCCCUCGGCAGCAUAUCUUCUAAUGAUAUUAAAGCGUCUGUCAAUAUGCUUGUUCUUUUGAUGUGCCCUGGGUUCCUUGGCUUGAGCUAUCGCCCCACUAUUAUCACAAUACAAAGUUACUGGUGAUGUAAUGGUUGGAACCACCCCAAGUUCAGUGAUGAACUUCUUCAUCCAGAACGCUUCUUUGCCGGCUUCAGCUGCAGCGACAUAUUCAGCCUCUGUCGUGGAAUCAGCAAUUACACUUUGCUUCUUGCUUUUCCAACUGACAGCCCCACCAUUCUGAGUGAAUACAUAUCCGGAGUUGGAACUUCUAUCAUCGACGUCAGAUUGGAAAUCUGCGUCUGUAUAGCCUUCCACUCGCAACUCUGAUGCUCCUCUAUACACGAGGAACAUGUCCUUAGUUCUUCUUAAGUACUUAAGGACCGUCUUGACAGCUCCCCAGUGUUCUGAUCCUGGGUUAGAUUGAUAUCGACUAGUAAUGCUCACAGCAUAUGCAAUAUCUGGCCUUGUGCAUAUCAUGGCAUACAUGAGACUUCCUAUGGCUGAAGCAUAAGGAAUACAACUCAUUUGCCGUAUCUCUUUAGGAGUUUUAGGGUCCAUGGAUUUAGAAAGGUGAAUUCCAUGUCCAACAGGAAGAAAACCUUUCUUAGAUUGUUCCAUCUGGAACCUACUUAGCACCUUAUCAAUGUACAUAGAUUGGGAUAAUCCAAUUAAUUUUCUGGAUCUAUCACGAUAGAGCUUUAUCCCAAGUACAUAAGAUGCAUCUCCCAAAUCUUUCAUGUGGAAGGUUUUGGACAACCACACUUUUACAGAAGAAAGUACUGCAGUGUCAUUCCCGAAUAGUAAUAUGUCAUCUACAUAUAACACUAGGAAUACAACUGCAUCCCCAACGACCUUUUGAUAAACACAAUUGUCGUCUUCGUUUUGAGUAAAACCAAACGUUUUGAUCUCAUUGUCGAAACGAAUGUUCCAGCUCCUGGAGGCUUGCUUAAGUCCAUAAAUGGACCUUUGAAGCUUGCAUACCUUAGUCUUUUCAGACUUGGACACGAAACCCUCGGGUUGAGUCAUAUAGAGCUCUUCCUCUAGGUAGCCGUUCAGAAAGGCCAUCUUCACGUCCAUUUGCCAUAUCUCAUAAUCAUGGUACGCAGCUAUCGCAAGCAAAAUCCGAAUGGACUUAAUCAUGGCUACAGGAGAGAAGGUUUCUUCAUAGUCAAUCCCUUCUCUUUGCCUGUAACCCUUGGCUACUAGUCUAGCCUUAUAAGUCUCCACGUUCCCAUCAACGCCUAUCUUCCUCUUGAAGACCCAUUUGUUUCCAACAGGUACAAUACCUUCUGGAGGGUCUACAAGAGUCCAGACCUGAUUUUGAUACAUGGAAUCCAUCUCGGAUUUCAUGGCCUCUUGCCAUCUCUUUGAAUCAAUGUUGGACAUUGCUUCAGUGUAGUCUCUAGGGUCCUCCUUUGUUUCAUUGUCACCUAGAAGGUACAAUUCAUCAAAGUCAUUGUCUAAGCCAUACCUCUUAGGUGGCUUACUAACCCUUUCAGAUCUACGUGGAGCUAGGGAUUCAGGAACAGGGUUGUCAACUUGUCGAGUGCUUGUUUGUGGUUCAUCAUUAAUCUCAUUAAUUUCUUUCAAUUCUAUCUUGCUAGUUCCUUUAAGAACGAAUUCAUCUUCCAUGAAUAUAGCAGUUCUGGCGACAAAGACUUUCUGGUCGUCAGGGUGAUAGAAUUCGUAUCCAUAAGUCUGUUUAGGAUACCCCACAAAAUAGCAUUUAACGGAUCUCGCUUCAAGCUUUCCAGCAUCUUGUUUCUUAACAUAUGCUGGACAACCCCAAAUCUUAAGAUGUUUAAGACUUGGCUUCUUCCCAUACCAUAUCUCAUAUGGUGUUUGUGGAAACAGAUUUAGAGGGCACUGCAUUUUAGCAAUAAAGCUGCUGUGUGUAGUGCAUAUCCCCAGAAUGAUAUUGGUAGAUCAGCGGAACUCAUCAUAGAACGAACCAUGUUCAUUAAGGUUCGGUUUCUCCUCUCAGAAACUCCGUUAUGUUGAGGAGUUCCUGGUGGAGUCCACUGUGAUACAAUUCCACACUCUUUGAGAUAAUCUAGGAACUCGUUACUCAGAUAUUCACCGCCUCGAUCCGAUCUUAGGGUCUUUAUCUGUUUCCCAGUUUGCUUCUCAACUUCAUUCUUGAAUUCUUUGAACCUUUCAAAGGAUUCUGACUUGUACUUCAUAAGAUACACAUAGCCAAACCGAGAGUGAUCGUCGGUGAAUGUGAUAUAGUAGGAGAAGCCUCCUCUCGACGUAGUAGACAUAGGUCCACAAACGUCAGUGUGGAUUAACCCUAGAAUUUCAGUGGCACGCUCUCCUUUUCCAGUAAAUGGAGAUUUGGUCAUCUUCCCUUUUAAGCAACAUUCACAAGUACCCAUCCGGUCAUUACCUAAUGGGCGGAUAUAUCCGUCUUUUGACAUCUUGCGAAUCUUAUCAAGGUUCACAUGUCCAAGUUUAAGAUGCCACAUCUUUUCUUGGUUAACUUCUUCUCUAGCCCUUUUGGGUUUUGAGGUAUUCCCGCUUUCAAUACAGUGCGUCCCACUAUUCGUCUCUAGGUGAAAAAGUCCCUCUAUCAUAUUACCAUGAGAGAUAAUACGACCGUUAAAGUAUAAAGUGCAACUCAUUUUGUCAAACAAUACUGAGUGCCCAUCUCGUAAAAGCUUAGAGAUAGAAAUCAAAUUCUUUAUACAUGAAGGAAAAUAUAAACAAUUUUUAAGUUCCAGGACUUCCCCAGAGGGUAGGUUAAGCAUGUAGGUGCCUAUUGCUUUUGCAGAGAUUUUAGUGCCAUUCCCAACUCGCACAACCAUCUCCCCAUUGUGCAGUGACCUGCUCCCUGCUAGUCCCUGCAACGUAUUGCAGAUAUGUUGACUAGCGCCUGAAUCAAAUAUCCAGGAAUUGGAGCUCACUGUAAAAGCACUCUCUAUGACAGAAAUAGUCUCUUCAAAAGUUCGUGUCAUAAGGCUCGCAAUGCGCACCCUGUAUUUCUUUUUCCAACGUUCAUCCUUUCCACAAUGAAAGCAUGUUCCUUUGGAUUUCUUUGCCUUCUUCUUAUGCAACCUUUUCCUUAUGUUUGCAUUCUCACUCCCACUGUCCAUUUUGAAACCUUUUUCAAAUCUACAGCACAUGUCAAUCAUCUCUUUCAAAGAAUGAUCGAAUCUAUUCACUUUAUAGUUUACAAUAAACUUAGUGAAAUCAUCCGAGAGAGAUGCAAGGAAAAAGUCUUGGGCCAUUUUCCCAUCGAUGGAAGUUCCUAAACUUUUAAGAUCUUUAAAUAUCUUUUCCAUCUUUUGUCCAUGUUUAUGGACCGAUGCCCCCUUUGCCAUCUUGGCAUUCAUUAGACUACAAACAUUUGAGAAUCGUACAUUACUAGUCUCAAUGUCAUGCAUCUUAUGCAAACUUUCAACCAUGGCACAAGAAGUGUCCAUGUGCUUAUGUAGCUUCAUAAGCUCCUCACUAAGUGAAGUAAGGAUUAAGCAUUUGGCUUGUAAGUCAUCCUCAUAGUAUCUAACAUAAUUUUGACACUCCUCCUUUGAAGCUAGUUUCGUAGGAGGUACAUGAGGAGGGGAUUGCUUAAGCACAUACAAUAUGUCUUUCACCUUUGAGACAUUCUCAAUAUGGCGAUGCCAAGCAAGGAAACGUUGGCCCUUAAGGCCACUUUUGUCAAGUAUAAUGGUGGGUAUAAUUUUAGGCAUGUCGUUCACUACAUAACAUAACAGAAAUCGUAUUAGAUUGUUUGUUUAAAACUAUUUGAUUGGGUCUUUGAAUCAAAUAGUACCACCCACUAUUUUUGGCAAAUUCCACAUCCCUCAAUAGAAUUCGAGAGUUAUAUUGAACUCUUAGCGGGUUAUGGGAGACUCACCAUUACCAAGCCCACCUCAGAAUUAUAUCAUGUUGGUUAGCAAAAAUAAUGAUGAGAGAAUAACGCAUUAUUCAUUUACAACUCUUGUAAUUACCCAUCUUGUUUGGCCUCUAGAGAAUGAUUACCUCAGAAUUAUAUCAUGUUGGCACCAUUGCACUUAGUUAAGUCAUUCCCACCAUGCUUAGUUUAUGUAGAGGUUCAAGCACAACCUCAGAAUUAUAUCAUGUUGGUCAUACUCGUUGUCUACACUCACCUCAUCAUAUGUUUAUGGGUUCCUCCUGGAUGUAAGCACAUACUUUGUACUUCCCCAUUAUAGGGUGAAGCCGGUGCAUGAGUCACAAACGAUUGGAUCCCACCACGGUGGAAGGCCUACGAAGAGAUGUUCAAAGCAUCUCUCGCUUAUCAACUUAAUAUUCGUUUUGAGGGAGUAGUUUUGGGCUACAUCAAAACAUUUUAAUCAUAUUAAAAGAACUUGGGCCUAUCAUAACUAUUGGUCCAAGUUAAUAUGAAUUAGUAGCAUAUAAUACUCCCACUGUUUCGUUGAAACAGCGAGACUAUAUGGAACUACUAACGAAUGCAUUGCAUCGUCAUAUGGACUAUAUAGUCAUAUUAGGUUUUAGGAUGAUUAUGAACCGUUUGAUUUGAUCCAACACGAGCCUUGUGUUGGACCUUGGGUUUAAGGUAGAUAGUUGUUGAUUUUAGUUACGCGUUUAAUCCAAUUAAACCGUUAUUUCCUAUUGGGCGUUGGACCCAACUAUUCCAUUUUGCAUACAUAUAAACAAAAAGGAAUACAUGAAAUAAUAAUAAGGGCUUAUGCCCUUUUACAACAUAAAUCAAAUGAUGGACUUAUGUCCAUUUACAACAAAUUGAAUUAAUCAAAUUACAUUCAAAUCUACACUACCAAACCCAAACAUUCAUAAUGUAAAGCGGCCAAUCACAUAGCUCAAUUAUCGUGGCCUUUGGUUCAUAAUCACCCUUUUCUUAAUCAACACAUUAACUAAGAAAGCAACUUUAAACAAUUGGUUUUUGGAUCCAUAGAAUUGAUUUAAAUGGAACUAAAUAGAAUGAAAAUCCAAUUCUCAUUAAAGAGACAAAACAAUUUUGUUCUCAUUUUAUUUGGGCCAAAAGGAAACUAUGACCACAACAAUUGGGCCAUAAUGCAAAUACAAAAACUUUUGGGGUCACUUUGUAAAAACACAAUAGUCCACAACUUCAUGUAAUUACAACUAGAUCCCAAAAUUUUAUUAAUGUAAUAACAUCAUUAAAGGAUCAAAACAAUUCGUCCCUUAGCGUUUUAGGGCCUUAACGUAAAAACGUAAACUUUUGGGCCAAAGUGCAAAUACACAAAAGUAUCAAAACUUUAUGUAAUUGCAUAAAAGACCCCAAAAGUACCCCCACUAGGGGGUGGCCGGUUUUUAGAGAGGUAAAGUAGUGUGAAAGGGUUUUAUGCAAGUUGUGCAUGCAUGUGCAAUAUGCAAGUUGAUUUUGGUGGGUGAUGUGAAAUUGAUGGUUUGUAAGAAAAUGUUUUGUAAAACAUUUAUGAGUUUUGACAAACAUUAAAUCCAAUUUUAAUGCUUCACCAAUAUCCAUCACCCAUCAAAAUUAAACCAAAACUUUAUGAAAAACAUAAAACUUUUGAAUCAAAACUUCAAACCUUUUUGUUCUUGGCAAGAACUUCAAGAACAUUUGAAGAACACCAUGAAAACUCAUAAUAGCUCCAUGGAUGUUUUCAUUCACCAAAACUCAAAUUUUCACCUCUCAAAAGAGGGCUAAUAUCCUAGGGUACUUAGGGGUUCCAAAAGUCACCUUAAAACCAUUUUAACAAGACAAACAUGAACCCAAAAAAUCACCCUAGGGAUUUGGCCGAAUUUCCCAAAACUCAUGGCACCAAAUUUUAGUUCCAAUAUUCAUGCUUAAAUGAAAUACAUCUACAACAUUUGAGAUGCUAAAUUUUCUAGCAAAAUUUUUAUAUUUCAAAAGCAAGAACAAAGCUUGUAACAUUUACAACAUUUAAAUCACAAAAUAUGAACAUCACAAAACCCAAAAGGAUUCACCAUACACUAGGCCUAGGCUCUGAUACCACUUGAAGGAAAAAUAUUGUCCUAGCUAAGAACAAGUAUGAACAUUUGAAUACACAUGCAAGCUAUUAACACUUUAAAGUAGGCAUGCAUCCAAAAACAAUUCAUAAAACCCAUGACUUUCAAAGCCUAGUAUAUGGUGAACCAAAAUAAACUCUUUAACAACAUUAAAGAGAAGUAAAGAUUUAGUGAUUCUUUACCCUUGAAGCUCAUCCUUGAUUACACAAGGGAUUCACCCAAGUGGAGGGCCUUCAAGUCACCUCCAAGCUCCUUGAAUCCUCCUUGUGUUUUCCUCCCUUUAGUGCUCCUUUGAUGAUUUGAGGAAAAAGGAUUUGUUUUCUCCAAAACACCAAAAGCUUGAUGUCUCUAAGUCUCUUCACCAAGGUUGUAUCUUGUGAAGAUGAAUUGGAUGACUAAGGGAAGAAAAGAUUGCUAGAUGUCCCUCCCCUUAGUGGCCGGCCUCCUUAGAAGAAAAUGGAGAAAAUGUUUCACCCAAUUUCAACAAGAAAAACCCUAAUUAGAAAAUAGCUAUAAAGUUGCUUUUAUAACCUUUUCUUUGGUGAGUGGCAAACUUGUAAUAAAGCAAACUUUGCCCAUUCACCCUAAUGGCCGGCCAUCCUUUGUUAUUGGGCUAAUUUGCCUAUUUUGUUUUAGUUGUCAUACAACUUAAACAUAAUGGGCCUUGUGGACCAAAA
rnacentral:lncRNA from 1 species